GAUGAACGCUGGCGGCGUGCCUAAUACAUGCAAGUCGAGCGAACGGACGAGAAGCUUGCUUCUCUGAUGUUAGCGGCGGACGGGUGAGUAACACGUGGAUAACCUACCUAUAAGACUGGGAUAACUUCGGGAAACCGGAGCUAAUACCGGAUAAUAUUAUGAACCGCAUGGUUCAAAAGUGAAAGACGGUCUUGCUGUCACUUAUAGAUGGAUCCGCGCUGCAUUAGCUAGUUGGUAAGGUAACGGCUUACCAAGGCAACGAUGCAUAGCCGACCUGAGAGGGUGAUCGGCCACACUGGAACUGAGACACGGUCCAGACUCCUACGAGAGGCAGCAGUAGGGAAUCUUCCGCAAUGGGCGAAAGCCUGACGGAGCAACGCCGAGAGAGUGAUGAAGGUCUUCGGAUCGUAAAACUCUGUUAUUAGGGAAGAACAUAUGUGAAAGUAACUGUGCACAUCUUGACGGUACCUAAUCAGAAAGCCACGGCUAAAUACGUG
rnacentral:rRNA from 1 species